CCUGACCUCGGAUCAGACGUGAAUACCCGACUGAU
rnacentral:rRNA from 1 species